rnacentral:lncRNA from 11 species
CCUUAUCUGCUUCUUCCGCACAGCAGCCUUGUGAAGAUCAUUAUUAUUCCUGUUUUUACAGAUGGAAAGCUGAGUCUGAAAGAUAGCAACUUGCCUAAAGCCACCCAGUGAGUCCAUUGCUGAGCUCGGAUUUGAAAUUGAGUUUCUCAUGUUCAUUUUCAAACCUCCAUCCCAUGGAUUAUCUUGACAGGCCCAGGCUCAAAAUGGAUUCAGAUUGAGCAUCCACAGUUCAGCAAAUAAUCAGAAGCUUACAGUAAACCUCAUGUCUCUAUUCUUGUGAGGAAUCGCUUUUAUAACGUCCUUUUAUAGGUAUGUAACAAUUUGUGUGCAUGCUUGAUUAAAGUGAUAGGCACAAUGCCUUCUUAAUGU